rnacentral:rRNA from 1 species
UGGGGAAUAUUGGACAAUGGGGGCAACCCUGAUCCAGCAAUGCCGCGUGUGUGAAGAAGGUCUUCGGAUUGUAAAGCACUUUCGACGGGGACGAUGAUGACGGUACCCGUAGAAGAAGCCCCGGCUAACUUCGUGCCAGCAGCCGCGGUAAUACGAAGGGGGCUAGCGUUGCUCGGAAUGACUGGGCGUAAAGGGCGUGUAGGCGGUUUACACAGUCAGAUGUGAAAUCCCCGGGCUUAACCUGGGAGCUGCAUUUGAUACGUGUAGACUAGAGUGUGAGAGAGGGUUGUGGAAUUCCCAGUGUAGAGGUGAAAUUCGUAGAUAUUGGGAAGAACACCGGUGGCGAAGGCGGCAACCUGGCUCAUGACUGACGCUGAGGCGCGAAAGCGUGGGGAGCAAACAGGAUUAGAUACCCUGGUAGUCCACGCUGUAAACGAUGUGUGCUAGAUGUUGGGUAACUUUGUUAUUCAGUGUCGCAGUUAACGCGUUAAGCACACCGCCUGGGGAGUACGGGCC